UUUUUUUAGGAGGGGAGGAUGUGAUAUACUAAACCUUAGCAAAUUGGCAAGGUUACAGUAUAAGUUUAUGCUUGAUUGAGUUGGAGACGUUUUGCGCAAAAUAAACGUAAAAACGAACUUUGAAACUCAAGAUUUAUAUUGUAGAGGACUAAAGUGGAAUACUUAGUUGUAGAGGGGCUUGUUGGCAAUUUUGCUUUAUUAAAGCGGUGGAGUCCACGUGCUUCCCCCAUCCUUAUCCC
rnacentral:lncRNA from 1 species